rnacentral:rRNA from 1 species
AGGUAGUCAAGAUGAGAAUUCUAAGGUGAGCGAGCGAACUCUCGUUAAGGAACUCGGCAAAAUGACCCCGUAACUUCGGGAGAAGGGGUGCUCUUUAGGGUUAACGCCCAGAAGAGCCGCAGUGAAUAGGCCCAAGCGACUGUUUAUCAAAAACACAGGUCUCUGCUAAACCGUAAGGUGAUGUAUAGGGGCUGACGCCUGCCCGGUGCUGGAAGGUUAAGAGGAGUGGUUAGCUUCUGCGAAGCUACGAAUCGAAGCCCCAGUAAACGGCGGCCGUAACUAUAACGGUCCUAAGGUAGCGAAAUUCCUUGUCGGGUAAGUUCCGACCCGCACGAAAGGCGUAACGAUUUGGGCACUGUCUCAACGAGAGACUCGGUGAAAUCAUAGUACCUGUGAAGAUGCAGGUUACCCGCGACAGGACGGAAAGACCCCGUGGAGCUUUACUGUAGCCUGAUAUUGAAAUUCGGCACAGCUUGUACAGGAUAGGUAGGAGCCUUUGAAACGUGAGCGCUAGCUUACGUGGAGGCGCUGGUGGGAUACUACCCUAGCUGUG